rnacentral:lncRNA from 1 species
GGUCCGGUAAGGGCCGGUUUUGGCCUCCAAGAUCAUCUGAGGAGAGAUUUUGGACACUUUUGAAACGCUUAAAUGUCUAUUUCAAUUGAUUCAAUUAUUUUUUUUGAAAUAUUUUAACUGAUUCACUCAUUAAAAACGCUCCGAUUCAAGUUUAAAUAUGAAAAAUAUAUCAAAUAUGCCAAAAAAUGUCACUUUUCACAUGGUUUUUGUCAAAAAUAAAAGUGGC